rnacentral:rRNA from 1 species
AUUGAACGCUGGCGGCAGGCCUAACACAUGCAAGUCGAGCGGAUGAAGGGAGCUUGCUCCUGGAUUCAGCGGCGGACGGGUGAGUAAUGCCUAUGAAUCUGCCUGGUAGUGGGGGAUAACGUCCGGAAACGGGCGCUAAUACCGCAUACGUCCUGAGGGAGAAAGUGGGGGAUCUUCGGACCUCACGCUAUCAGAUGAGCCUAGGUCGGAUUAGCUAGUUGGUGGGGUAAAGGCCUACCAAGGCGACGAUCCGUAACUGGUCUGAGAGGAUGAUCAGUCACACUGGAACUGAGACACGGUCCAGACUCCUACGGGAGGCAGCAGUGGGGAAUAUUGGACAAUGGGCGAAAGCCUGAUCCAGCCAUGCCGCGUGUGUGAAGAAGGUCUUCGGAUUGUAAAGCACUUUAAGUGGGGAGGAAGGGCAGUAAGUUAAUACCUUGCUGUUUUGACGUUACCAACAGAAUAAGCACCGGCUAACUUCGUG